GUAACCCUGUAGCGCUACUAGGUUGCGUGUUUAAUUUUGAAGGUUUAAAUAAAGCUUCAUCAAUUGGAGUCCUAGUUUGGUUGAAGCCCUACCACCAUAUGUUGGGACAGGUGCAACCUACACGUUGUGCUAGUUCUGCCCGCACUGUGAGUUGAUUAGGGGGUUCAGUUUGGUGCCGAACCAAUGAGAGAACAGGGGGGAUGGAACGAAUAGGAAAAGUUUCGAGACUUUUCUAGAAGGGUCGAGAGAGAGGAGAGCGUGAGACGGAGGUGUUCGAAAGAGCGCUCCAGAGUGUCAGGAGGCGAUAUUUUUCUGGUUGCUGGACGAGUAACCAGAGAGAAAAUAUCACUUCUCUGCAUUUGGAUUGUGUUGGCGAGUUUGAGUUUCUGUGGAGUCCUCGUGGUCCGACGAGACGUCCAGUUAAAACGGCAAGUUUUCAGGCUCAGCCCCUCUCGUCGAACUGCUACGCCGGUGAGACGGAGGAGGACUGAGGAGAACCUGAUAGCGCUUCGUGCUACCGCCGGUACAGUGCGAAGUUCCUCGGGCAUCACUGGAGUUUUCAUCCACCCGGAACGCGAGUGGACGGGGAUAAGCACACGGCAUGACAGAAGGUUCUGCCACUUAGGCAGACUCAGCGAUGCUCGACUAGACACACCAUGCCGUUUCUUCGCAUGACACCCUGCUGGGUUCACAUGACCAGCCCCAGCGCCAGGUGGACGAGACCCUUCUGGAGCUGGUGCAAACAUUCCGGUCCAGCGGGAUCGCACAAUGUGCCGGGACCCCUACCUCGCCCACCCAGAUAAGUACAACGGAACGCCGGACAACUGCCAGGGCUUCCUAAUGCAAUGUAAGCUUGUGUUCACUAAUUCUCUAGGAACCUAUCAAGCAGACAAAACCAUGAUUGCCUUUCUGGUCUCCCUCCUCACGGGCCCCACACAGCACUGGGCCACGGCUGGGUAGAAGUUCCACGUCCCCUCCACCUAUGAAGCUUUCAAGGAAUGUCUUGAGGUGGUGGUCGACCAGCCACUCCCCGCUCAAGCCGCCAGCGACUGCCGGAUGAAGAUCCGGCAGGGACUACUGCUCAGUGGCUGAAUACUCCCUGGAAUUCCAGUCCCUAGCCAAAUAGAGCAGGUGGAAUUCCGCUCCCUCUUAGCCAGCUUCCAGAAUGGGCUCCACCCCCAGAUCCAGGCGGAACUCAUCUACUGGGAGAAGAUUGGACUUUGAACUGUUUUGUGGAGACAGCAAUAACCAUCGACAACCUCGCUCGUCAGAGUACCCCUCAUUUGUGGAUGCUUCCCCCAAACACCAUCCCGCUGAGCAAACUCCUUGACCAAUGCAUAUCGGCCGAGGCUGGCUGGAUCCCAACGAGAGACAGCACUGCCUCCACGACCGCCUGUGCCUCUACUGCGGAAUCCCCGGCCAUUUCCGCACAACCUGCCCAACUUGCCCGCCACCACCUAACACUAACCAGGAACCUAAGGGUAGUAAAUCACAAUUGACCAUGUCCGUGACUCUGGGAGU
rnacentral:lncRNA from 1 species